rnacentral:rRNA from 1 species
GAUGAACGCUGGCGGCGUGCCUAAUACAUGCAAGUCGAGCGAACAGACGAGGAGCUUGCUCCUUUGACGUUAGCGGCGGACGGGUGAGUAACACGUGGGUAACCUACCUAUAAGACUGGGAUAACUUCGGGAAACCGGAGCUAAUACCGGAUAAUAUUUCGAACCGCAUGGUUCGAUAGUGAAAGAUGGCUCUGCUAUCACUUAUAGAUGGACCUGCGCCGUAUUAGCUAGUUGGUAAGGUAACGGCUUACCAAGGCAACGAUACGUAGCCGACCUGAGAGGGUGAUCGGCCACACUGGAACUGAGACACGGUCCAGACUCCCACGGGAGGCAGCAGUAGGGAAUCUUCCGCAAUGGGCGAAAGCCUGACGGAGCAACGCCGCGUGAGUGAUGAAGGUCUUCGGAUCGUAAAACUCUGUUAUUAGGGAAGAACAAACGUGUAAGUAACUGUGCACGUCUUGACGGUACCUAAUCAGAAAGCCACGGCUAACUACGUG